rnacentral:misc_RNA from 1 species
CUUUGAUUCCUGUACUGUACUGUGGUGCUUUGCCAUGAGGGUUCCUUUGAUUUCUUGGUGUUUUGUUAAUGAGGAUUUGACCGACAAAGAUGGAAAACUUCCCCCUCUUUUUCAUGAUCAAACAGGCAAAAAUGCAUGAAACAAUAAGGUGGGAAUAGAACCAAAUUCCAAAUUGGGCAAGUUCUUUGUGAGGAAAUUUAGAGAACAGGUAAUAUGAAUUAUAGCCAAGUGUAUAAAAAGGAGGACAAAGACUUGAGAGCAAACUUGGAUUCCAUUAUGAUGAGAUGCUGAGCUCUUCUCUGUAGAAGCCGAAAUGGUUCUUCCAAGGUUGCUAUGGGUUCUACAAGAAGAAGGAAUUUCCAGCAGCCCAGCCCAACAAAGCAGGCCCAACCGAAAAACCUAAUUUCUGGAUGGUUCUGUUCGGUUUGGUCUCUUAUAUUGGUUCAUUUUGGUUUCCUUAAAAGAUCAAUUAGUUUUGAACCAACCGAAUGCUCAACCCUAAUAAUAGCUUCAAGGUUGAUCAAACUCAUCAGGCUAUGACAAUAAUUCUAGAUGUUCUAUCUCAUGCUAAGCAUAGGAGCUAACUGCACUAAAUAGAAACUGUAAACAUUUUAUGCCCUAGUGUUGUCUCACAUUGGUUUGGAAUAAAGUGUUUGUGAUAUAUAUAAGACUUAAGCAAACCUUCUCCCCUUGGGCUAGCUUUUGGGAUGGAGCUAAGCCUUAUCCAUUUUCUCUAUAUGAGGGUCUAUGUUAGACAAAGCAUGAAUGAAAAAUGAAAUAAAUUUUCUUCUUCCCUCUCCCCUUUUCAGGAGGCAGGGAACAUGAACCAAGACAGUCAUUUAAAAGAGAACUAGAACUUGACAUCUAGCCCACUAAUAUAGUAAAAUGAUUUCAUUUUAAAAUAGCCUGCCAUUUUUCUUCCUUACUUUUCUAGAAUAGUUACUAAUUUGAUAUUUUUCUUUUGUGGCAAUACUAGAUUUUGGCUAAAAUAUCAAAUUUGCACCAUCCUACAAGCCACUUUCAUGUCAAUAUGCAUACUGGGGUAUCCUUGCUGACCAAAAUUACCAUUAUUAAACAGAAUUACUCAUUCAGGCUUAGAAAGAUAAAUUAAAAGUGAUACUCACAAAUCCCCACCCGCUUUUUGUGAACUCCUGCCCUACUGUCCUGAAUGCACAGUUGGUGUUGGACAAGAAGAGCUCAAUGUAAGGAAGUUCAUCAACAAUGGCAGCCACCCCACCAGCUUUUGGUCCAAGUUUAAGCGCAGAAACAUAUUCAUCUUGGUUUUUCAAUUUUCUAAGCCUUGAUUCUGCUAUGUUGAGUUCAUCAACCAAGUAGUUCCAUGCAAAUGACCCAUCUUGAACUCCAAUUGGUUCUGUACUUGAGAUCAAGCUGUCAAUCCCUUCAAUCCGUGAUGUUAACUGCUGAACUGUGAGGAUUGAUGUCAAACUGGCUGUAUAGCUUGAAUUGAUAAUCAACACAACAAAUAGCCAUAUGAUCAGCACCAGACGUCCCAAGGUGCUUGCAGUGUUCUCUCUAUGGGAGAAGAACAUUGUUGAGAAACUAAACCAGAAUACUGUUAUAAGCUGUUGCCUUGGCGGACCACGAAAUUCAUGAUUAAUUCGAUGCUCAAGAAUCCAGACAACAGCACCCACAAAAAGAAAGAAGGCACCAGUGACACACCACAUUUGUACAGUAAAUGGCUUGAGGAAAGCCCAAGGGCUAGACUUUUUUUCCUUGACUGGAGCAACUACAACUAGUCCUGAUUCCAUGUAAGGCUGUGUAAAAUCCACAAUUUUAGUUCUAUUUGUAACUAUUGUAACAUCUCCCACAGCUGCAUCAUAUUUAUUUUGAGCAACUGCAUUGACAAGUUCAUUGUAGACGGGGCUUCUCUUUCCAUCUCCAUAUAACACAUAUGUGCGCGGGACAGGAUAUGGAAGCAAGUUUAUGGCAGCUUCAAACACAUCAAUACAAUAUCCUCUAACCCCUGGAGGGUUUUUGUCCAUAGCCACAAAUUCUUUAUAACUGACUCGAUUGGGUACUGCUAUACGCAGUGGCUUCCCGUUGUUGGGAAAUACCCAUCCUCGAGGAGUCUCUGGAUUUUCACCUGGCCAUAUUGUGGUAUAAAGACGUUGGUUGCUGGUAGAAGUAUUAGAAGGCUUCCCAUAUAAGGUCUCUGGAGCAACAAUUGAAAGCCCAGAGUAAUUUGACCAAUAACCAAUCCUGCGGGAUCCUGUCCCGCCAAUGUUAAGAACAUCAUAUGCAGGAUGAAUUAAAUUCUUAUCUUGAUCAAAUUGAAUUUGACCACUGAGCCCUGUGAAGUUCAUCCCAAGAAGUGUCUGGAGAUACUGUUGACCUCCAUUGAAAACACGGAGUGAUGACAAGUGCAAUGAGCUUCCAUUUCUGUCAUGCAACUUUGGGUCGUCAGAGAAAGAUACACUUCCACCUUCAUUUAAAAAAGCAUCAAGAGCUCGGGCAGCUAACCAUACUGAAUCAUAAGCAAAGAGAGCAUAAGAGUUGAACCCAGCAGGUCCCGUGUUAUUCUUAUAUUUUAGGUUGUUCCACCUAGACAUAAACCUUUUCUUCUGAUCAGUAUCUGGUGUGUAAUGGCGAAGAGCGACAACCCCUUGUAAGAGAUUCAUUGUGUCAAUAUCAGCUGGUUCUAUUGAAUCUAAUAGAGAAGGAAGCCAAUCUGUUGCAAUCCAAACAUAGCCCUUGCUCACCAUCCCAAGACUCUGAGCGACAGAAAAAAUUUUCAAACCAGAGUCAGGAUUUACGUGUACAACAUAAACCCGGGAUUCCAUCAGGUUUACGCCAACUAACAAGUCAUUGAUUACACUACUGGAUGCUCCAGGGGUGAAGGCAGCCUUAUAAGAGAUCUUACAACGCUUCUUUGCCAGCGCAUCACCCAAUAUAGAUAUGCCAUUUCUCCCAUAAUCAUCAUCUACAAAGAUAGCAAUUACCUCCCUCCAUCCAAAAUAUGAAACCAGAUCAGCAAUUGCGAACAUCUGAAAAUAGUCACUCUGUGUAGUGCGGACGAAAUAAGGGUACUGCAGUGCAGAAAGUGUAGGGUCUGUUGCUCCAAAUGAUAAAAGCGGUACAUGAAGUUCUUUAACAACAUGAGAGAUGACGUGAGCUAUUCCAGAAGACUGAGGGCCAAUUGCAGCAACCACAUCAUUUUCCACUAGCUGCAAAGCUUCCAUGGUUCCAAUAAAUCCACUGCAAUUAGUGUCAAGUAUAGUAAGAUUCAGUUUUGUCCCUGGAAGAAUACUGGAAUCUGAAUUUACAUCAUCAACUGCGGCCGCAAGUGCCGGCUUAGCUGCACCCCCAAUUACAGAAUUAACAGUAAACAGAGCUCCUACAUUCACAACACUCGGUCUAGUUGAAGAAGCACUAACAUUUCCAGUCUUACCCAUGACUUCAAUGGGCAUACAAAUAAUACAAAAUAUUGAUAACAACUGUAUCAUUGCCAUGAGUGAUCUGUGAUCAGACCCGGUAAUCAGUGAUACAUCCAUGUGCAGAAAAGCUUGCAAUCAAGCAAUUUACUCCUCAACAAUACGAGCACCUUGAUGAUGCCCACACAUUGGGAACAAGCGUUGCACAGUAAUUAAGAGCCCGUAAUAUAUAAGCUCUAAGGACAUAAGCACAAACAGCUUCUUCACAGACACCCACAAGAGUAUUAAAGAGCAAUAACAGUCCUCCAAGCUCAAGCAAAGAAUGAUUCUUAUCAACCUCACCCUUGUUAUCGUGUCUGGUACAAUUGCCUUGCAAAAGCUUGCAUUUUUC